CAUAACACACACAUACUUUCUUUCUUUCUUUCUUUCCAUCUCUAUCUCCUAUUAAAUACCUCCAGCCACUCAGUUGUCGGAGUCGGGGUAGAGAAACACAUAACCAAAGAAAGAACCCACCAGCACUAGCCACUGUAGCCACAACCAUAGCCUCAUCCUUCGGUCACUACCAACCUACACGUGCCACCUCCAUUUGAAAAUGGCAAUAACCCCUACUACCUUGUCUGAUUAGUAGUCUCGCUCAACUAUUCCCUUGGCAACCUAGGGUUCAAAGAUUACAAUUGCCUCCAUUUGCAAAGAAAUCGAUGAAUUUUAAGCUUGGAAUCGACAAAAACUUAUUUGUUCCAAAAUUGCUUUGAUGUUGGAACUGAAGUUUAUUUGAAUGUUGAGUUUAGAAAUGGAUAGAAGGGGUGUAUCAAGAUAAAAUACGGAGGUACCUUACUGUGGCGAAUGGGUUUAGGAUGGAAAACAGUGGUGGUGGUGACCGUGAACGGGUGAACUGCAACUAUUUCCCCAGGUAAGUUUUGUGUUGGAAAUCAAAGCUAAAAUCAAGAGAAAAAUCAAGAAAAUUGGGAGGUACAAUAGAUCAAGCAACUAUUCAAUAACGAUAACGAGGAGGGGAUUGUUGAUCGAUGUAGAUCUCGUCUGCACUGGUUUUCAAAAGUGAACUCUAACGAGGUGGAAUACAAUGGCGAUCGUGGUUGUUUCAUGUUUUCAGCGAGAGAGAGAGAGAUAGAGAGAGAGAGGUGGUUAGAUAUGGGGAAAAGUGGGGGUUACGGUGUAUUUUAUUUUAGCUUUUUUUUAAUGUGUAAUAGAAAGAAAAAUGAAAAAAGAAAUUGUAUAAGGGUAUGUUAGUCA